rnacentral:rRNA from 1 species
GGGCAUCGUAGGCUGUGGGCUUUGCCUGCUAUCUCUUACCCAUGUCUUUUGAGUACUUACGUUUCCUCGGCGGGUCCGCCCGCCGAUUGGACAAAAUUAAACCCUUUGCAGUUGCAAUCAGCGUCUGAAAAACAUAAUAGUUACAACUUUCAACAACGGAUCUCUUGGUUCUGGCAUCGAUGAAGAACGCAGCGAAAUGCGAUAAGUAGUGUGAAUUGCAGAAUUCAGUGAAUCAUCGAAUCUUUGAACGCACAUUGCGCCCCUUGGUAUUCCAUGGGGCAUGCCUGUUCGAGCGUCAUUUGUACCUUCAAGCUCUGCUUGGUGUUGGGUGUUUGUCUCGCCUUUGCGUGUAGACUCGCCUCAAAACAAUUGGCAGCCGGCGUAUUGAUUUCGGAGCGCAGUACAUCUCGCGCUUUGCACUCAUAACGACGACGUCCAAAAAGUACAUUUUUACACUCUUGACCUCGGAUCACGUAGGGAUACCCGCUGAACAUAAA